CCUACGGGUGGCAGCAGUGAGGAAUAUUGGUCAAUGGGCGCGAGCCUGAACCAGCCAAGUCGCGUGAGGGAAGACGGUCCUAUGGAUUGUAAACCUCUUUUGUCGGGGAGCAAAAGACGCCACGCGUGGCGUUCCGAGAGUACCCGAAGAAAAAGCAUCGGCUAACUCCGUGCCAGCAGCAGCGGUAAUACGGAGGAUGCGAGCGUUAUCCGGAUUUAUUGGGUUAAAAGGGUGAGCAGGCGGAAGAUCAAGUCAGCGGUAAAAUUGAGAGGUUCAACCUCUUCGAGCCGUUGAAACUGGUGUUCUUGAGUGAGUGAGAAGUAUGCGGAAUGCGUGGUGUAGCGGUGAAAUGCAUAGAUAUCACGCAGAACUCCGAUUGCGAAGGCAGCAUACCGGCGCUCAACUGACGCUCAUGCACGAAAGUGUGGGUAUCGAACAGGAUUAGAUACCCGGGUAGUC
rnacentral:rRNA from 1 species